CAGUAGCCACGGGAAUACGUAGGUGGCAAGCGUUGUCCGGAAUUAUUGGGCGUAAAGGGCUCGCAGGCGGUUUCUUAAGUCUGAUGUGAAAGCCCCCGGCUCAACCGGGGAGGGUCAUUGGAAACUGGGAAACUUGAGUGCAGAAGAGGAGAGUGGAAUUCCACGUGUAGCGGUGAAAUGCGUAGAGAUGUGGAGGAACACCAGUGGCGAAGGCGACUCUCUGGUCUGUAACUGACGCUGAGGCGCGAAAGCGUGGGGAGCAAACAGGAUUAGAUACCCCAGUAGUCCCUGUCUCUUAUAC
rnacentral:rRNA from 1 species